rnacentral:misc_RNA from 1 species
GAAAUGCGAUAAGUAGUGUGAAUUGCAGAAUUCAGUGAAUCAUCGAAUCUUUGAACGCACAUUGCGCCCUUUGGUAUUCCAAAGGGCAUGCCUGUUCGAGCUUCAUUUGUACCCUCAAGCUUUGCUUGGUGUUGGGCGUCUUGUCUCUAGCUUUGCUGGAGACUCGCCUUAAAGUAAUUGGCAGCCGGCCUACUGGUUUCGGAGCGCAGCACAAGUCGCACUCUCUAUCAGCAAAGGUCUAGCAUCCAUUAAGCCUUUUUUUCAACUUUUGACCUCGGAUCAGGUAGGGAUACCCGCUGAACUUAAGC